AGACAGUGUUUUAUGGAACGCUGCGUUUGGCUCUGACUAUUGAUAUCCUUUUGAAACCCACUCAAGUCCCUCUCAUCUUCGAACGGCGUCGUAACCCAUUCUCCCCGCGCCGUCUUCUUCUUCUAACCGUCACCGCCGCAUUGCUAUCGAUCUCCGACUCUACUUCGUUUCCACCGGCUUUACUCAUCUCCGCUCCCUCCUUUCUCCGAUUCAACCUUCACUCACAUCUCCGCUUUGCAUUUGAUUCACAACCUCCGUCUCGGCUUCGUUCUCAUCUCUCUUGCGAUUCCGGAUUCAGCGCAACACUAAAUCGAUCGGAGAAACCGAAGAAAAAAGAGGAAAACACGAAGGCUUACUUGCAACGAUCUGGAAAAUGA